GCUAGGAAGCCUGACUAAAGGGCCAUUUUGAUGUAAUGGAUUAUGUGCACCCCACUCCUAGUU
rnacentral:tRNA from 1 species